AGGAGUUUGAUCCUGGCUCAGAAUGAACGCUGGCGGCGUGCUUUACACAUGCAAGUCGAGCGAGAACGCGACUUCGGUCGUUAGUACAGCGGCGGACGGGUGAGUAACACGUGGACAACCUACCUGGGAGCGGGGAAUAACUGGGGGAAACUCCAGCUAAUACCGCAUACGCUUGUUGAACCUCGGUUCAGCUCGGAAAGGUGGCCUCUUCUUGAAAGCCAUCACUCCCAGAGGGGUCCGCGUCUGAUUAGCUUGUUGGUGGGGUAAUGGCCCACCAAGGCUUCGAUCAGUAGCCGGCCUGAGAGGGUGAUCGGCCACACUGGAACUGAGACACGGUCCAGACUCCUACGGGAGGCAGCAGUGGGGAAUAUUGCGCAAUGGGGGAAACCCUGACGCAGCAACGCCGCGUGGAGGAUGAAGGCCUUCGGGUCGUAAACUCCUGUCAGGUGGGACGAAAAAGCACGGGCGAAAUACCUGUGCCCUUGACGGUACCACCAGAGGAAGCCCCGGCUAACUCCGUGCCAGCAGCCGCGGUAAUACGGAGGGGGCAAGCGUUAUUCGGAAUUAUUGGGCGUAAAGGGCGCGCAGGCGGCUAGGUAAGUCAAAGGUGAAAUCCCUCGGCCCAACCGAGGAACUGCCUUUGAAACUGCUUGGCUUGAGGCCGGGAGAGGGCGGUGGAAUUCCCAGUGUAGCGGUGAA
rnacentral:rRNA from 1 species